GCUGUCGUAGCGCAAUGGUAGCGCGUCGCUUUCCUACUUUGGAUUAGGCGAAGGUUGCGAGUUCGAUUCUCGUCGUCGGUA